rnacentral:snRNA from 1 species
AGGGCGAUCUGGCUGCGACAUCUGUCAUCCCAUUGAUCGCCAGGGUUGAUUCGGUUGAUAUAACCAGGCUAAAUAUCUCCAUCCACUUU